UACACUGCUGAGGGGAGCAGCGGGCGGCAGGAGAGGUCUGCACGCCAUGUGGGACCCUCCUCCGGUGGCCAGGGAGCAGCCGGGGAUCGAACCGGCACUGAAGAGGCCACGGGCAGCUUCGCAACCCAGCGCUCAACUGCUGCGCCACCGGGGAGGCCCACUCUCAUGGAAUUUUGAAUACUGAAAAAUACAAAAAAGUUGUACAAUACUUUGAAAAAAGGGAUGACUUGGAAGACAAGUGCUCAGCUUAUAGGACCGAACUACCUGUCCUGUGAUGCUCUUGCUGAACUCAGAAGAUGUCAAGCACCAUUUGACCUGACCAGUGCCUGUACGACUCAGAAGAGUCAACUGCAGAAGAAUCAAUUGUAAAAAUACAGAUUUCUGGAUUCACCCAAGAGACUCUGUAGAAACAACAACUUUACCAAAUUGAAACCCUCAAGACAAAAGAGCCCAGGAAAGAAAUCUCAUCAUAAAAAUAGAAGAAGUUUUCAUGAAGUUGCUAUGUGUCAGAAACUUUUAAUGAAUCCAGUUGUAUUGUUUACCAAGUUAAAAUCCUCUCAGAUGUCAGGAGAUAGAUGCUGGAUGUCAGUUCAUAAAGUAUAGCUCUGGUGUGAUAGCAGAAAUACGAGACGCUGGAAUCCCUCCGUGCUAAGAGAUAAUGAAGGAGGCCAAAGAUAAGUUGGAAGACACACUGGUUACCAAGAGGGAUAACAAUUGUUUUUGCUAAAGCAAAUAUUUAUGAGACUGGGAUUUGAUUAUACAUUGUUUAACAAUUUAAGGAAAAGGUAAUUUUCUAGAGAUGCCCAUGCUGUUGCAGUAAUUCAGAUAACUGUACCUGGCAUGAAAAGAAUUAAUCAUUAGCAUUUGGAAUGCAUGCAAAUUGUGAUGGGUACAGAAGAUAUUUUGCAAUGUGAAAGUCUGAUGGUAUAACAUGUUGGGAGGAUUUUAUAUAUCCUAUUGCCACAGGCACUCUUCAGUCCUAUGUCAAUGUACAUCAGUGGUUUUUUUGAUUUCACUAACAUUUAUUGAAUGUUUUGUAUGUGUCAAUUUUAAUAUGGUAUGAACUU